UAAAUAAAUUACAUAUAAUAAGAAAAAAUAUAAAGAAAAAAAAUAAAUUGAUAAGGCUGUCCUUAAAAAGGAGAAUAGGGAAAUUUUUAAUAUUUAUUAAGAAUAAGAAAAGAAAAUUUAGAUAAAAGAACUUACAUUCAUCCUUUGAAGUGGGUUUUUGUUGAACGCCAUUAUCCAUAACAGAUGUAUCAAAAUUUUGCUCCUUCAGAAACUUGAUUCUAUCAAAGAAGAGAAAGAAAAUGGAUUAUGAGAUUAAGAUGCUGGUAUGGUUAACCAUGACAAAAAUAUGACGUUGUAGAAUUUAUCCCCGGUAGAGGAGAGUUGCAGUUUCUUGAUGGAUGGUGAGCUCGACAUGAUUUCGUUGUAUCAUAAAAUUUUAAUAAUCAGAAGUUUGAUGAAGAACGUUACUAUAUACAUACGCUUAUAUAAUACUAAUAAUUUGAUAUUACACCCAAUUGUUAAUUUGAUGUUAACCAUUUUGGUUAAAACUAAAUAUUAAGUUUAAUAAAUAUAAUUGAAUAAGCUAAUUCCCUUGUAUUAGCUAAAGCAUCUAAUGCUAUAACUGAGACUGCGGAGGAUUCAAUGUAAGUGGUCAUACCGUUAGGUUGGCAAUACAUAUAGGUAGCAGUGUUCACUACGCUAAGCUAAAUUCCCUUUAUUCUGUCUAAACAGCAUUAACAAAAGGAAAAAAGUCUGAAUCAGCUAAAGCAUCUCAAGCUGUCUCUGAAAUAGAGGACGUUUCGCUGUAGGGGUCGGAUUUUAAAACCGAAGAAUGCAGAACUCUUCUAGGAAAACACACAGCUCGAGCAGGAAAUGCUGAAGGACAAGGCUGAAAAUAUUAUUAUGAGGCAGGAGUUUGUUGUCUUGACGAACUCAUCCUCCAGAAAAAAUAUGAGGUAAAGGAGGCUGGUAGCAUUCAAGCAGAUAAAGAAGAUAUCGAUGAAGGAAAGGAGAAUGAGGCUGGAAGCAUCCAAGCAGAUCCUGGAUGUAGCUGUCGCGUACCGAAGCCGAAGGCCCAACUCAUAGCACGAGAGGAGUUGGGGGCAUGCAGCGUUAACAAAGGGGAAUGUCCUGCAUCAGCUAAAGCAUCUAAAGCAGUUACGGAGACUGAAGAUGUUGCACUAUUGAAACUGGAGAAUGCUGAAUUUUAAAAGAACAUACAGUUCAAUCAGGAAGGCCGGGAACUACUGAAGAAGGCUGAAACCAUACUUAUGAGGCAGGAAUUUGAGGACUUGAACUCACUCGCUACAGAAUGUAUGAAUGGAAGAAAGGGAAAGGAGGCUCGAAGCAUCCAAGCAGAUCGAAAAGAUACUGAUGAGGGAAAGGGAAAUGUGGCUGGAUGC